UUUUUAUGGAGAGUUUGAUCCUGGCUCAGGAUGAACGCUGGCGGCGUGCCUAAUACAUGCAAGUCGAGCGAACAGACGAGGAGCUUGCUCCUCUGACGUUAGCGGCGGACGGGUGAGUAACACGUGGAUAACCUACCUAUAAGACUGGGAUAACUUCGGGAAACCGGAGCUAAUACCGGAUAAUAUAUUGAACCGCAUGGUUCAAUAGUGAAAGACGGUUUUGCUGUCACUUAUAGAUGGAUCCGCGCCGCAUUAGCUAGUUGGUAAGGUAACGGCUUACCAAGGCAACGAUGCGUAGCCGACCU
rnacentral:rRNA from 1 species